CCACUUGUGUCUGUUUCGUCCAC
rnacentral:siRNA from 1 species